rnacentral:snRNA from 1 species
GUCCUUUAAAAAGGAUAAAAAAGUUCUUUUUGAUACAGAGAAGAUUAGCAUGGUCCCUGUGGAAGGAUGACAUGCACAUUUGUGGAGCGUUCCAUAUUUUU